GGACCAGAAGUGCUCUGCGCUCUGCUAUUAACCCCAUGAAAAGAGUUCUUUCCAGAUAAGCGGAUACUUGCGGCUGCGUGGAGUGGAUCCCAGUCCCAGUUUGCUACCAGCAAUCCCAACCCAAGACACAGGUGAGCCACAGGAUUGUAGAGUCUGGGCUUGAGGGGAAUAAACAUUGGGAAGCCUAGUAUUUUAUAAGGAAUAAAUAAGUAAUAUAAGCAUAAUUGAUCUAUCUUUUGGGACCCUGAAAUUUUCAGUGUAUUCUAAUUACUAGGCUCCAAGUAAGAGCUAGCCAAAAGCAGGAUUUAAUAUAUGAGCAUUGUCUGGGAAAGCACACUGUCGUCACCUGCCUCCCCCAUCCCGGUCCCCACCACUCUCUGACUGAUGCCAUCGCCUAGAUGAUAAAGCGCCCGUCACUCAAGCACAGAAGUCGAAAUUCAUAGUUCAUUUCUUUACUUAUGUAAGAUCAUUCACUGACAAAAGAACUCAAAUGGAAAGGCUUUGGGCAUAUGCAGAAACGGGGAGAAAAAAAUAAUCUCUCCGAGUCAGAAGCCUCGGGGGAGCAUAGCAAGACUUAUCAAAGUUACAGUGCUCCAUUUGGAAAGCGCCAACC
rnacentral:lncRNA from 1 species